AACGCGAAGAACCUUACCUGGGCUUGACAUGCAUCGUGUCGCCGGUGAAAGCCGGCUAGUGUAGCAAUACACGCUUUGCACAGGUGCUGCAUGGCUGUCGUCAGCUCGUGUCGUGAGAUGUUGGGUUAAGUCCCGCAACGAGCGCAACCCUUGUGAACUGUUGCUACCCAGCACUUCGGUGUUGGGGCACUCUGUUCAGACUGCCCUGUGAAACGGGGAGGAAGGUGGGGACGACGUCAAGUCAGUAUGGCCCUUACGGCCAGGGCUGCACACGUACUACAAUGCCCAGUACAGAACGAUCCGAGACCGCAAGGUGGAGGAAAUCUAUCGAAAACUGGGCCCAGUUCGGAUUGGAGUCUGCAACUCGACUCCAUGAAGCCGGAAUCGCUAGUAAUGGCGCAUCAGCUACGGCGCCGUGAAUACGUUCCCGGGCCUUGUACACACCGAGACGAC
rnacentral:rRNA from 1 species